rnacentral:rRNA from 1 species
AUUGAACGCUGGCGGCAGGCUUAACACAUGCAAGUCGAACGGUAACAGGCCCUUCGGUGUUCUGACGAGUGGCGGACGGGUGAGUAACACGUAGGAAUCUGCCUGAUAAUGGGGGAUAACCCGGGGAAACUCGGGCUAAUACCGCAUACGCUCCACGGAGGAAAGCGGGGGACCUUCGGGCCUCGCGUUAUCAGAUGAGCCUGCGUCCGAUUAGGUAGUUGGCGGGGUAAAGGCCCACCAAGGCAACGAUCGGUAGCUUGGCUGAGAGGACGCUCAUCCAGCAUGGAAAUGAGACACGGUCCAGACUCCUACGGGAGGCAGCAGUGGGGAAUAUUGGACAAUGGGCGAAAGCCUGAUCCAGCCAUGCCGCGUGUGUGAAGAAGGCCUGCGGGUUGUAAAGCACUUUAAGUGGGAAAGAAGGCUUUCUGGCGAAUAACCAGGAAGAUUGACGUUACCCACAGAAGAAGCCCCGGCUAACUCCGUGCCAGCAGCCGCAGUAAUAC